rnacentral:rRNA from 1 species
UACAGAGGGUGCGAGCGUUAAUCGGAAUUACUGGGCGUAAAGCGCGCGUAGGCGGCUUUGCAAGUCGGGUGUGAAAUCCCCAAGCUCAACUUGGGAACUGCAUUCGAGACUGCAUUGCUAGAGUAUGGGAGAGGGAAGUGGAAUUUCAGGUGUAGCGGUGAAAUGCGUAGAUAUCUGAAGGAACAUCAGUGGCGAAAGCGACUUCCUGGACCAAUACUGACGCUCAUGUGCGAAAGCGUGGGGAGCAAACAGG